rnacentral:rRNA from 1 species
GAUGAACGCUGGCGGCGUGCUUAACACAUGCAAGUCGAACGGAAAGGCCCUGCUUUUGUGGGGUGCUCGAGUGGCGAACGGGUGAGUAACACGUGAGUAACCUGCCCUUGACUUUGGGAUAACUUCAGGAAACUGGGGCUAAUACCGGAUAGGAGCUCCUGCUGCAUGGUGGGGGUUGGAAAGUUUCGGCGGUUGGGGAUGGACUCGCGGCUUAUCAGCUUGUUGGUGGGGUAGUGGCUUACCAAGGCUUUGACGGGUAGCCGGCCUGAGAGGGUGACCGGCCACAUUGGGACUGAGAUACGGCCCAGACGCCUACGGGAGGCAGCAGUGGGGAAUAUUGCACAAUGGGCGGAAGCCUGAUGCAGCAACGCCGCGUGCGGGAUGACGGCCUUCGGGUUGUAAACCGCUUUCGCCUGUGACGAAGCGUGAGUGACGGUAAUGGGUAAAGAAGCACCGGCUAACUACGUG